UACCAGCUUCUCCGAGUGGUGUGGAAUGUUUAUUGGGCCUAAAGCAUCCGUAGCUGGCUGGACAAGUCCCCUGUUAAAUCCACCGAUUUAAUCGUUGGUGUGCGGGGGAUACUGUUCGGCUAGGGGACGGGAGAGGCAGACGGUAUUUUCGGGGUAGGGUGAAAUCCUAUAAUCCCGGGAAGACCACCAGUGGCGAAGGCUGUCUGCUAGAACGCGCCCGACGGUGAGGGAUGAAAGCUGGGGGAGCGAACCCGGAUUAGAUACCCGGGUAGUCCCAGCUGUAAACGAUGCAGGCUAGGUGUUUGGACGGCCACGUGCCGUUCUAGUGCCGCAGGGAAGCCGUUAAGCCUGCCGCCUGGGGAGUACGGCCGCAAGGCUGAAACUUAAAGGAAUUGGCGGGGGAGCACCACAAGGGGUGAAGCUUGCGGUUU
rnacentral:rRNA from 1 species